UGAUUCCCGGGCCACAACGGCAACACUCUGCCGCUCAACAAUAAUCUGGCGCAGAGAAGGAAGAUCCAAGGCCGAAGACCGAGGAUCCAAAAUAUUCAAAAUUCGAUCCAGCUCCUCAAUCUCUCCCUGAAUAAAAUCAGCAAAGAGACUCAUAAGAAGAGCCACGGAUGAAGGAAAGGGAGGUCCUAAAGGCUCUAUUUAUAGACCCCGAGUCUGCACAAAAGGACAAAAAAGAGUAAAACCGAUCAGAAAAACAACCCUUCCAAGAUCGGCACAAAGACUCGACUUUUUGGCCAAAGCACCAGGAAUUGACUUUUAGCAAAGGAGUCAACACAAGGACCCAAAAAAUCGACUUUUUUACAAAAGUCGAUGGGCAUCACUCAGAUCGGCAUUUGCACAAAAGUCGAUCCCUGCAACGGGGGAUCGACUUUUUCUUCCAACGCAGGGGGGUGUAGAAAAAAGAACCCUGACAAGUUGGAAUUGCGGAAGUUCGCCAAAGGGAGGAGGGAUGUAGGAAAAACAUUCCCAAGACCUUAAAAGGUCACCAAGGCAGGGGGCGUAAGCAAAAUACUCCUAAGAAAUCGUGGAAAUCCACUUAGAGGAAACAACUCAGAUAGCGAUACGGCAGCAAAAUGAACUGAGCCACUUUAAGAUAUUUGAACUUCUACAAUUACUGGACGCAGUAACAAAGUAGGACGCCAAAUUAACUCUACCUACGGAAGAACGUGGGCGGGGAAAGUCUUGGUGGUAACAGAGUCAGGAUGCGUAUCCCAUCUAAAAAGAGUGAACCUCACCUACGGAAUAACGUAGGUAGACGAAGGACGUAUUCAAAAGUGAACCUCACCUACGGAAGAACGUGGGUAGACGGGGGACACAUCGGAAAAAUACGCGCCUCUUCUACAAAA
rnacentral:lncRNA from 1 species